rnacentral:rRNA from 1 species
UACAGAGGUCUCAAGCGUUUGUUCGGAUUCAUUGGGCGUAAAGGGUGCGUAGGUGGCGCUGUAAGUCAGGUGUGAAAUUUCGGAGCUUAACUCCGAAACUGCAUUUGAUACUGCGGUGCUUGAGGACUGGAGAGGAGACUGGAAUUUACGGUGUAGCAGUGAAAUGCGUAGAGAUCGUAAGGAAGACCAGUGGCGGAAGGCGGGUCUCUGGACAGUUCCUGACACUGAGGAGCGGAAAGUGUGGGGAGCGAACAGG